UUGUGACUGAGUGGCGGACGGGUGAGUAACGCGUGGGUAACCUGCCUCAUACAGGGGGAUAACAGUUGGAAACGGCUGCUAAUACCGCAUAAGCGCACGGUAUCGCAUGAUACAGUGUGAAAAACUCCGGUGGUAUGAGAUGGACCCGCGUCUGAUUAGCUAGUUGGUGAGGUAACGGCUCACCAAGGCGACGAUCAGUAGCCGACCUGAGAGGGUGACCGGCCACAUUGGGACUGAGACACGGCCCAAACUCCUACGGGAGGCAGCAGUGGGGAAUAUUGCACAAUGGGCGAAAGCCUGAUGCAUCGACGCCGCGUGAGCGAAGAAGUAUUUCGGUAUGUAAAGCUCUAUCAGCAGGGAAGAAAAUGACGGUACCUGACUAAGAAGCACCGGCUAAAUACGUGCCAGCAGCCGCGGUAAUACGUAUGGUGCAAGCGUUAUCCGGAUUUACUGGGUGUAAAGGGAGCGUAGACGGUCGUGCAAGUCUGAAGUGAAAGCCCGGGGCUCAACCCCGGGACUGCUUUGGAAACUGUGCGACUAGAGUGUCGGGGAGGUAAGCGGAAUUCCUAGUGUAGCGGUGAAAUGCGUAGAUAUUAGGAGGAACACCAGUGGCGAAGGCGGCUUACUGGACGAUAACUGACGUUGAGGCUCGAAAGCGUGGGGAGCAAACAGGAUUAGAUACCCUGGUAGUCCACGCCGUAAACGAUGACUACUAGGUGUCGGGUAGCAAAGCUAUUCGGUGCCGCAGCAAACGCAAUAAGUAUUCCACCUGGGGAGUACGACCGCAAGGUUGAAACUCAAAGGAAUUGACGGGGGCCCGCACAAGCAGUGGAUUAUGUGGUUUAAUUCGACGCAACGCGAAGAACCUUACCAGGAUUUGACAUCCUACUAACGAAGCAGAGAUGCAUUAGGUGCCCUUCGGGGAAAGUAGAGACAGGUGGCGCAUGGUUGUCGUCAGCUCGUGUCGUGAGAUGUUGGGUUAAGUCCCGCAACGAGCGCAACCCCUAUUGUUAGUUGCUACGCAAGAGCACUCUAGCGAGACUGCCGUUGACAAAACGGAGGAAGGCGGGGACGACGUCAAAUCAUCAUGCCCCUUAUGUCCUGGGCUACACACGUAAUACAAUGGCGAUCAACAGAGGGAAGCAAGACAGUGAUGUGGAGCAAAUCCCUAAAAAUCGUCUCAGUUCGGAUUGCAGGCUGCAACUCGCCUGCAUGAAGCUGGAAUUGCUAGUAAUCGCGGAUCAGCAUGCCGCGGUGAAUACGUUCCCGGGCCUUGCACACACCGCCCGUCA
rnacentral:rRNA from 1 species